AGCUGUUUCUAUAGACAGGAAAAGAAUAGCUGUUUUUCCAACUUCAGUCAGUGCAAGGCAGGGUUAGCUGGGAGACUUCUUCUAAACGAGGGACACUUCCAACUUCCCGUGGAAUACCAGCAGACAAGGGACAGGGAGUAGUUCUAUACAAUAUCUUUUGGAGAUUAGGGUGAACUCUUGUGUGUUGUAACAGUGUUUUGCAUUUGAG